rnacentral:rRNA from 1 species
UACGAAGGGGGCUAGCGUUGCUCGGAAUCACUGGGCGUAAAGCGCACGUAGGCGGAUUGCUAAGUCAGGGGUGAAAUCCUGGAGCUCAACUCCAGAACUGCCUUUGAUACUGGGGAUCUCGAGUCCGGGAGAGGUGAGUGGAACUGUGAGUGUAGAGGUGAAAUUCGUAGAUAUUCGCAAGAACACCAGUGGCGAAGGCGGCUCACUGGCCCGGUACUGACGCUGAGGUGCGAAAGCGUGGGGAGCAAACAGG